rnacentral:rRNA from 1 species
UACGGAGGGUGCAAACGUUGCUCGGAAUCAUUGGGCGUAAAGCGCACGUAGGCGGUCUGUUAUGUCGGAUGUGAAAGCCCUCGGCUCAACUGAGGAAGUGCAUCCGAAACUGGCAGGCUAGAGUACUAAAGAGGGUCGCGGAAUUCCUGGUGUAGCGGUGAAAUGCGCAGAUAUCAGGAAGAACACCCGUGGCUAAGGCGGCUCUCUAGUACGGUACUGACGCUGAGACGCGAAAGCGUGGGGAGCGAACAGG